UACGAACCGAGCGAACGUUGUUCGGAAUCACUGGGCUUAAAGGGCGCGUAGGCGGCAUGGCAAGUCUGCUGUGAAAGCUCUCGGCUUAACCGGGAGAGGUCGGUGGAAACUGCCAGGCUUGAGGACGGUAGAGGGGGGUGGAAUUCCCGGUGUAGUGGUGAAAUGCGUAGAUAUCGGGAGGAACACCAGUGGCGAAGGCGGCCCCCUGGGCCGCUCCUGACGCUGAGACGCGAAGGCUAGGGUAGCAAACAGG
rnacentral:rRNA from 1 species